rnacentral:rRNA from 1 species
GACGAACGCUGGCGGCGUGCUUAACACAUGCAAGUCGAACGAGUGGCGGACGGGUGAGUAAUGUCUGGGAACCUGCCUGAUGGAGGGGGAUAACUACUGGAAACGGUAGCUAAUACCGCAUACCAUCGGAUGUGCCCAGAUGGGAUUAGCUAGUUGGUGGGGUAAAGGCUCACCUAGGCGACGAUCCCUAGCUGGUCUGAGAGGAUGACCAGCCACACGGGAACUGAGACACGGCCCAGACUCCUACGGGAGGCAGCAGUGGGGAAUAUUGGACAAUGGGCGAAAGCCUGAUGCAGCCAUGCCGCGUGUAUGAAGAAGGCCUUCGGGUUGUAAAGUACUUUCGGCGGGGAGGCGGUACCCGCAGAAGAAGCACCGGCUAACUACGUGCCAGCAGCCGCGGUAAUAC